CUGACGAACACGGGAGUCCGGUGCACCGGACUGAGAGGAAGGCUUUCAGCCUUCGACCGUCGAACCUGAUCUGGGUCAUGCCAGCGAAGGAACGUUUCGAUCUCCUCUU
rfam:Rathayibacter sp. Leaf296 contig_1, whole genome shotgun sequence.